rnacentral:rRNA from 1 species
AUUGAACGCUGGCGGCAUGCCUUACACAUGCAAGUCGAACGGUAACGGGCCUUCGGGUGCCGACGAGUGGCGAACGGGUGAGUAAUACUCGGAAAGGUCCCGGACCGUGGGGGUAAAGAGGCGGAAGGCUUGGUAAAACCCCCAUCGGACCAACGAUGAAAACAGGGGGCCGGCAGGGCUUUGCGCGGACGGAGGGGCGGAUGGCAGAUUAGGUAGUUGGGGGGUUAAAAGCUUACCAAGCCGACGAUCUGUAGCUGGUCUGAGAGGAUGAUCAGCCACACUGGGACUGAGACACGGCCCAGACUCCUACGGGAGGCAGCAGUGGGGAAUUUUGGACAAUGGGCGCAAGCCUGAUCCAGCCAUGCCGCGUGCAGGAUGAAGGCCUUCGGGUUGUAAACUGCUUUUGUACGGAACGAAAAGCCUUCUUUUAAUACAGGAGGGUCAUGACGGUACCGUAAGAAUAAGCACCGGCUAACUACGUG